AAGUAUUACAGCUCUUUAGAAUUUGUCUAGCAGGUUUUCUGGUACCCUC
ensembl:snRNA U7 U7 small nuclear RNA